UCCGGUUUGGCACCGGCAGUCCUCCCAGAGUCCUCGGCAUAACCCGGUAGCAACUGGGAGCGGGGGUUGCGCUCGUUGCGGGACUUAACCCAACAUCUCACGACGCGGGCUGACGACAGCCAUGCACCACCUGUCACCCGACCACAAGGGGGGCACCAUCUCUGAUGCUUUCCGGGCGAUGUCAAGCCUUGGUAAGGUUCUUCGCGUCGCAUCGAAUUAAGCCGCAUGCUCCGCCGCUUGUGCGGGGCCCCGUCAAUUCCUUUGAGUUUUAGCCUUGCGGCCGUACUCCCCAGGCGGGGUGCUUAAUGCGUUAGCUUCGGCACGGACGGGGUCGAUAUCCGCCCACACCUAGCACCCAACGUUUACGGCUAGGACUAC
rnacentral:misc_RNA from 1 species